GGAGGUGGUAGAAACCACGUAACCAUGUCAGCUUCAGCUGUGGAGGCAGUUAAUGCUGCCCCUUUGUCUGGUUCCAAAGAAAUGAGUUUGGAAGAACCAAAGAAGAUGACCAGGGAGGACUGGAGAAAGAAGAAAGAGCUAGAAGAACAGCGGAAACUGGGUAAUGCUCCUGCUGAAGUAGAUGAAGAAGCAAAAGACAUCAAUCCUCAUAUUCCUCAGUAUAUUUCCUCAGUAACGUGGUAUAUUGACCCAUCAAAAAGACCUACAUUAAAGCAUCAAAGACCCCAGCCAGAGAAACAGAGGCAAUAUAGCUCAUCUGGAGAAUGGUACAAGAGGGGUGUGAAAGAGAAUUCCUUAACUACUAAGUAUCGUAAAGGUGCAUAUGAAAAUUGUGGAGCCAUGACACAGAAAAAGAAAGACUGCUUUGAAAGACCUAGGCGAGUUGGAGCAAAAUUUACAGGUACUAAUAUAGCUCCAGAUGAACAUGUCCAGCCUCAGCUGACCUUUGACUAUGAUGGGAAAAGGGAUCGGUGGAAUGGCUACAAUCCAGAAGAACACAUGAUGAUUGUAGAAGAAUAUGACAAACUUGAUCUGGCAAAACAAACACUCAAAGCCCAAAAACUGCAAGAAGAAUUAGCUUCAGGAAAAUUAGUAGAACAAGCUAAUUCCCCAAAACACCACUGGGGAGAGGAGGAACCAAAUUCUCAGAUGGAAAAAGAACAUAAUAGUGAAGAUGAGGAUGAAGAUAAAUAUGCAGAUGAUAUUGACAUGCCAGGACAGAAUUUUGACUCUAAGAGACGAAUUACUGUGUGAAAUCUCCGGAUCAGAGAAGAUAUUGCAAAAUAUUUGAGGAAUUUAGAUCCAAAUUCUGCUUCUUAUGAUCCCAAAACUAGAGCGAUGAGAGAGAAUUCCUACGCGAAUGCAGGAAAGAAUCCAGAUGAAGUUAGUUAUGCAGGAGAUAACUUCGUCCAAUACAUAGAAGAUACCAUCUCAAUGGCUCAGACACAGUUGUUUGCUUGGGAAGCCUAUGAUAAGGGAUCUGAAGUGCAUCUUCAAGCAGAUCCUACAAAGUUAGAGCUAUUGUAUAAAUCAUUCAAAGUUAAAAAAGAAGAUUUCAAAGAACAGCAGAAAGAAAGCAUCCUGGAAAAGUAUGGUGGCCAAGAACAUCUGGAAGCUCCGCCAGCUGAACUGCUUUUAGCUCAGACUGAGGACUAUGUGGAGUACUCAAGACAUGGAACGGUGAUCAAAGGACAGGAGCAGGCUGUCGCCUGCUCCAAGUAUGAGGAGGAUGUAAAGAUCAACAAUCACACGCAUAUCUGGUGAUCUUACUGGAAAGAAGGCCGAUGGGGAUACAAAUGUUGUCAUUCUUUUGUGAAGUAUUCUUAUUGUACUGGAGAAGCUGGGAAGGAGAUUGCCAAUUCAGAGGAAUGUAUACCAGGCGAUGCAGCUGGAGAAGAGUCCAUGAAGAAACCUCAAACUCUCAUGGAGAUGCAUCAAGAAAAACUGAAAGAGGAGAAAAAGAAGAAGAAGCAUCGAAAGAGCAAUUCAGAUAGUGAUAGUGAAGAAAAACAUGAAAAACUGAAAAAGGCACUGAAUGCAGAAGAGGCCCGCCUUCUUCAUGUCAAGGAGAUCAUGCAAAUCAAAGAAAGGAAGCAGCCUUAUAAUAGCAUUUAUGAAACCCGGGAACCAACGAAAGAGGAAAUAGAGGCCUAUAGAAUGAAGUGUCAGAGGCCUGAUGACCCCAUGGCUUCCUUCCUUGGCCAAUAG